rnacentral:rRNA from 1 species
AGUAACGGAGGAGCACGAAGGUUGGCUAAUCCUGGUCGGACAUCAGGAGGUUAGUGCAAUGGCAUAAGCCAGCUUGACUGCGAGCGUGACGGCGCGAGCAGGUGCGAAAGCAGGUCAUAGUGAUCCGGUGGUUCUGAAUGGAAGGGCCAUCGCUCAACGGAUAAAAGGUACUCCGGGGAUAACAGGCUGAUACCGCCCAAGAGUUCAUAUCGACGGCGGUGUUUGGCACCUCGAUGUCGGCUCAUCACAUCCUGGGGCUGAAGUAGGUCCCAAGGGUAUGGCUGUUCGCCAUUUAAAGUGGUACGCGAGCUGGGUUUAGAACGUCGUGAGACAGUUCGGUCCCUAUCUGCCGUGGGCGCUGGAGAACUGAGGGGGGCUGCUCCUAGUACGAGAGGACCGGAGUGGACGCAUCACUGGUGUUCGGGUUGUCAUGCCAAUGGCACUGCCCGGUAGCUAAAUGCGGAAGAGAUAAGUGCUGAAAGCAUCUAAGCACGAAACUUGCCCCGAGAUGAGUUCUCCCUGACCCUUUAAGGGUCCUGAAGGAACGUUGAAGACGACGACGUUGAUAGGCCGGGUGUGUAAGCGCAGCGAUGCGUUGAGCUAACCGGUACUAAUGAACCGUGAGGCUUAACCUUACAACGCCGAAG